rnacentral:rRNA from 1 species
CGGAGGAUCCAAGCGUUAUCCGGAAUCAUUGGGUUAAAGGGUCCGUAGGCGGUUUAAUAAGUCAGUGGUGAAAUCUGGUCGCUCAACGAUCAAACGGCCAUUGAUACUGUUAGACUUGAAUUAUUGGGAAGUAACUAGAAUAUGUAGUGUAGCGGUGAAAUGCUUAGAUAUUACAUGGAAUACCAAUUGCGAAGGCAGGUUACUACCAGUGGAUUGACGCUGAUGGACGAAAGCGUGGGGAGCGAACAGGAUUAGAUACCCUGGUAGUCCACGCCGUAAACGAUGGAUACUAGCUGUUCGGAGCAAUCUGAGUGGCUAAGCGAAAGUGAUAAGUAUCCCACCUGGGGAGUACGUUCGCAAGAAUG